rnacentral:rRNA from 1 species
GAUGAACGCUAGCGGCAGGCCUAAUACAUGCAAGUCGAACGGAUAUAUGUUUUUCGGAAUAUAUAUUAGUGGCGCACGGGUGAGUAACACGUACAUAACUUGCCCUCAAGCGGGGGAUAGCCUUGGGAAACUGAGAGUAAUACCCCAUAGAAUUAUUGGACGGCAUCGUUUGAUAAUUAAAACUACGGUGUUUGGGGAUAGAUGUGCGUCUGAUUAGCUAGUUGGUGAGGUAACUGCUCACCAAGGCGACGAUCAGUAGGGGGCGUGAGAGCGUGGCCCCCCACACGGGUACUGAGACACGGACCCGACUCCUACGGGAGGCAGCAGUAAGGAUAUUGGUCAAUGGAGGGAACUCUGAACCAGCCAUGCCGCGUGAAGGAUGACGGCCCUCUGGGUUGUAAACUUCUUUUGGAUGGGGCGAAAAAACGGGNUUUAUCCUGGACUGACGGUACCAUCAGAAUAAGCACCGGCUAACUCCGUG